rnacentral:rRNA from 1 species
UACGUAGGGUGCAAGCGUUAUCCGGAAUUAUUGGGCGUAAAGAGCUCGUAGGCGGUUUGUCGCGUCUGCUGUGAAAACUGGAGGCUCAACCUCCAGCCUGCAGUGGGUACGGGCAGACUAGAGUGCGGUAGGGGAGAUUGGAAUUCCUGGUGUAGCGGUGGAAUGCGCAGAUAUCAGGAGGAACACCGGCGGCGAAGGCGGGUCUCUGGGCCAUAACUGACGCUGAGGAGCGAAAGCGUGGGGAGCGAACAGG